UCCGGUGGCGAUAGCGGAGGGGAAACACCCGUUCCCAUUCCGAACACGGAAGUUAAGCCCUCCAGCGCCGAUGGUACUGCAUAAGCGGGAGAGUAGGUCGCUGCCGGAA
rfam:Thermoanaerobacter tengcongensis MB4, complete genome.